GAAAGGGGACAGUAUAUCCUGCCCUGGACAUGAGACUGACAGUGGGACGGCCACUCUGGGACAUGUGGAAACACGGAGAGGACGACGGAAGGACUGGCAGAUGAGACUUGGAGACGUUCUGCAAUCAGAAAGCGGAGGUCAAGGAUCUUGGAUUCCCUGAGUGCAGGUGAGAGGAGAGCCUGGAAGAGGAACCUCUCUUGAUUCUGCCUCUGCAGUGCCGGAAUCACCAAGUCUCAUCACUUGGGGAAGCAUCAAGGAGCCCCUCCUCUCUGAUGUUUUUCUAUCCUGUUAGAUACAUCAGUUCAGCUGUCAUGAAUGGAUGUGAAAGUUGGGCCAUAAAGAAGGCUGAACACCAAAGAACUGAUGCUU